rnacentral:lncRNA from 1 species
GGGACAGGAGAGGUGACAGCACUGAUGGCACCAGGACUGAGCCACAGGGCAGGCUUCAGCCUGUCUGUAGGUGGAACUCAGCGAGGGCUGGCAGAGCACAGACUGCAUCCAGACACCGCGGCCCCAGCCAGACUCCGUGCUGUCAGACAAACAUGCAAGUGAAUCACCACCUGCCCGGUUUCCGCUGCAGACGCGGAGGCGAGAACCCAGGACACCUGCAUGAUAAUUGAGGCCUCCACCCAAACAAAGAAGACAUGAAAGGUGACCAAGAUGCUGUUGGGAGACAUCAUCCCAAGAUUUUGGGUACUCCUGUCCUUAGGGUCACACAAUGGACCAACAUUCAUAGCCAAGAAAGUCCAGGAGUUCACACUGAUGUUAAAGAAAUGAGAUCAAGUCCUGCCCAUGGUCCUCCUCUGAGUCCAGUACACCCCCACCAAACAAACUGGGCAUUCCCCUUAUGAGAUUCUAUAUGACCAGCCACCCCCCAAU